AAAUUUAUUCUCUCCCCUAUAUUAGUUUUCAAUAAAACCUUCUCGGAAAAGUAUUUUCACAAUAUUUUUCGGUAAUAUCAAUAGAUGCGAUGCGAACCACUCUUUUUCUAUCCAUAUUGGCAUUUCGUAUAAAGGUUAUUAUCUCAACAAUAGUGUCUCUAUCCAUAGUGAACUAAUAUUAUGGGUGCCCCUCAACAUGGUUUUCCUUUUUUUUUUUGUUUUACUUAUUUGUUUCAUGAAUAUGAAUUAUUAAAGUUAUAUACAUCAGACACAAUCUAAUAAUUAGUCUAGUUCUUAAUCUAUUUCUUUCAAAUACCCACUAUAAAAAUAGCAGCGAUCUCAUUUUAUAAUACCUCAGGAGCUAAUGAAACUAUUUAGUAAAAUUUAAUUGUCUCAAUUCCCGAGGGAUCGCACCAAAAAUUCUAGUUCCUUUUUGAUUUCCUUCUUGAUCAAUCACAACAACAGCAUAGUCAUCAUAUCGUAUUAUCAUACCGCUGUUUCACG
rnacentral:lncRNA from 1 species